UACGUAGGGGUCGAGCGUUGUCCGGAGUUACUGGGCGUAAAGCGUGCGCAGGCGGCUCAUCGCGCUCGGCGUGAAAGCCCCCGGCUCAACCGGGGAGGGUCGUCGAGGACGGGUGAGCUUGAGGGUAUCAGGGGUUGGUGGAAUUCCCGGUGUAGUGGUGAAAUGCGUAGAGAUCGGGAGGAACACCCGUGGCGAAGGCGGCCAACUGGGAUACACCUGACGCUGAGGCACGAAGGCGUGGGGAGCGAACGGGAUUAGAAACCCCUGUAGUCC
rnacentral:rRNA from 1 species